rfam:Sphaerobolus stellatus SS14 unplaced genomic scaffold SPHSTscaffold_5, whole genome shotgun sequence.
GCCUUGCUAGCUCAAUCGGUAGAGCGUGAGACUCUUAAUCUCAAGGUUGCGGGUUCGGCCCCCGCGUGGGGCU